rnacentral:rRNA from 1 species
UACGUAGGGUGCAAGCGUUGUCCGGAAUUAUUGGGCGUAAAGAGCUCGUAGGCGGUUCCGUAAGUCGGGUGUGAAAAAUCUGGGCUCAACCCAGUGGAGCACCCGAUACUGCGGUGACUCGAGUCCGGUAGGGGAGUGUGGAAUUCCUGGUGUAGCGGUGAAAUGCGCAGAUAUCAGGAGGAACACCGACGGCGAAGGCAGCACUCUGGGCCGGUACUGACGCUGAGGAGCGAAAGCAUGGGGAGCGAACAGG